rnacentral:rRNA from 1 species
CAGUCGCCGCGGUAAUACGAGGGGGGCAAGCGUUGUUCGGAAUUAUUGGGCGUAAAGGGAGUGUAGGCGGUUUUGUAAGUCGUGUGUGAAAUCUUCGGGCUCAACCCGAAGUCUGCACACGAAACUGCAGGGCUUGAGUAUGGGAGAGGUGAGUGGAAUUCCUGGUGUAGCGGUGAAAUGCGUAGAUAUCGGAAGGAACACCUGAGGCGAAAGCGGCUCACUGGACCAUAACUGACGCUGAGGCGCGAAAGCUAGGGGAGCAAACAGGAUUAGAUACCCCGGUAGUCCCUGUCUCUUAUAA